rnacentral:rRNA from 1 species
UCCGUAGGUGAACCUGCGGAGGGAUCAUUACCGAGUUUACAACUCCCAAACCCCUGUGAACAUACCAAUUUUUGCCUCGGCGGAUCAGCCCGCUCCCGGUAAAACGGGACGGCCCGCCAGAGGACCCCUAAACUCUGUUUCUAUAUGUAACUUCUGAGUAAAACCAUAAAUAAAUCAAAACUUUCAACAACGGAUCUCUUGGUUCUGGCAUCGAUGAAGAACGCAGCAAAAUGCGAUAAGUAAUGUGAAUUGCAGAAUUCAGUGAAUCAUCGAAUCUUUGAACGCACAUUGCGCCCGCCAGUAUUCUGGCGGGCAUGCCUGUUCGAGCGUCAUUUCAACCCUCAAACCCCCGGGUUUGGUGUUGGGGAUCGGCGAGCCUCACGGCAAGCCGGCCCCGAAAUAUAGUGGCGGUCUCGCUGCAGCUUCCAUUGCGUAGUAGUAAAACCCUCGCAACUGGUACGCGGCGCGGCCAAGCCGUUAAACCCCCAACUUCUGAAUGUUGACCUCGGAUCAGGUAGGAAUACCCGCUGAACUUAAGCAUAUCAAUAAGCGGAGGAA